UACGUAGGAGGCAAGCGUUAUCCGGAUUUACUGGGCGUAAAGAGGGUGUAGGUGGCUUUUCAAGUCGGAUGUAAAAUCUCCUGGCUUAACUGGGAGGAAUUAUUCGAUACUGUUGGGCUAGAGAGCAGCAGAGGGAGGCGGAAUUCCCGGUGUAGUGGUGAAAUGCGUAGAUAUCGGGAGGAACACCAGUGGCGAAAGCGGCCUCCUGGGCUGUUUCUGACACUGAGACCCUAAAGCGUGGGGAGCGAACAGGAUUAGAUACCCCUGUA
rnacentral:rRNA from 1 species